rnacentral:rRNA from 1 species
GAUGAACGCUAGCGGCGUGCCUUAGGCAUGCAAGUCGAACGAAAAGCCUUCGGGCUGAAAGUGGCAGACGGGUGAGUAACGCGUAGGAACCUACCCUUUGGAGGGGAAUAGCCGGCUGAAAAGUGGGGUAAUACCGCAUAAUCUCAUACUUUGUAUGAGGAAAGGGUGUAACUACUCGCCGAAGGAGGGGCCUGCGUCCUAUCAGCUUGUUGGUGAGGUAAUGGCUCACCAAGGCGAUGACGGGUAGCCGGUGUGAGAGCACGGCCGGCCACAAGAUCACUGAAACACGGGGUCUACACCUACGGGUGGCAGCAACCGGGAAUAUUGCGCAAUGGGCGAAAGCCUGACGCAGCGACGCCGCGUGGAGGAUGAAGGCCUUCGGGUUGUAAACUUCUUUUAUAUAGGAACAUAAUGAGGGUACUAUACGAAUAAGCACCUGCAAACUACGUGCCAGCAGCCGCGGUAAUACGUAGGGUGCAAGCGUUAUCCGGAUUUACUGGGCGUAAAGAGUAUCGUAGGCGGUUUGAAAAGUCAUUCGUUAAAUCCCGAGGCUCAACUUCGGAAAGGCGGGUGAUACUUUCUAACUAGUGCAUAGUUGGGGAUGUUGGAAUGUCUGGUGGAGGGGUGAAAUCCGUUGAGAUCAGAUAGAACACCGAGGGCGAAGGCAGACAUCUAGGCUAUUGCAGACGCUGAUGAACGAAAGCUAGGGGAGCAAAAGGGAUUAGAGACCCCUGUAGUCCUUGCUGUAAACGAUCCCUACUAGCUGGAUCUGUCUAACAGGUCUGGCGUAAGCUAACGCGUUAAGUAGGGCGCCUGGGAAGUACGGCCGCAAGGCUAAAACUUAAAGGAAUUGACGGGGAGGCGCACAACCAGUGGAGCAUGUGGUUUAAUUCGAUACGAAGCGUAGGACCUUACCUGGGUUUGACAUCUAGCUGCAAGCUUGAAGAAACUCGAGCCGCCUUUGAGGGUGCUAGACAGCUACUGCAUGGUUGUCGUCAGCUCGUGUCGUGAGAUGUCCGCUUAAGUGCGGCAACGAGCGCAACCCUCGUCCUGUGUUAAAUGAUCACAGGAUACUGCCUCAGUCAAACUGGGGAGGAAGGAGAGGAUGACGUCAAAUCAGCAUGGUGCUUAUAUCCAGGGCAACACACAUCCUACAAUGGUCAGUACAAUGGGUUGCGAAACAGUAAUGUGGAGCUAAUCCCUUAAAACUGGCCUCAGUUCAGAUUGAGGGCUGAAACCCGCCCUCAUGAAGUUGGAAUUGGUAGUAAUCGCGGGUCAGCAGACCGCGGUGAAUACGUUCUCGCCUCUUGUACACACUGCCCGUCAAGCGAGGAGAGUUGGGGGUGCCCGAAGUCGUUUUCCUAACCUUA